AAGAUUGGAUAAGGUUUUUAUGGGCAUUGAUUUUGGGUGAUUUGGAGUUGAUAUGAAUUUGUAAGAGCUUUGCAAAGUUGAGUUUUUUUCAGAUGACUUGGAUUUUAUGAAAUAAAAUAGGGUUUAUGUUUUUAGUGAUUUUGAGAGUUUUGUUGCAGAUUUACAGGUGGAUUUUUUUGGGUUCAUGGUUAUAGUUGUGUUAAAUAUAUGUUGUGAAUUUGAACUUGAUCUAACGGUUGAACUAAGAGAUAUUGAAGUUUAAUUGAGUCAAGGUCUUAGAAAGUAGAAUUUUAGGUUCAAUGAAGGUUUUUAAGAUAUUAGCAAUCCAUUGGUUGGAGUAAAACUUAUGUAAAAAGAUAUUAGACUUGUUUUCCUAUGUCCAUGAGAAAUUUGAAACCAAUCGAACGACGCAAAGAAGUGAAAUUGGCUCUAGAAGGUUGGCAACAAGAUUGGAGAGGGAGGCCAGCUAACACCCGAAUACAUUUUUGAGGUUUUCGUCAAUUUAGUAAUUCCGGUCCCUUUUAAAAAAAAAUUUGCUUGUUUUGAACUUGAUUUUUAAGAAGUGUGCAAAUUUUGAAUUGAGAUCAACGGUUUAUUCAUUAAAUAUUGAGGUUUAAAUCUGUCAAAGGAAUUACUAGGAUUUGGAUUAGGGUUUGGAUUAGGAUUUGGAUUAGGAUUUGGCUAGGAUUCGGUUUAAGGUUUAGAUUAGGGUUUAGGGUUUGGUUAGGAUUUGAUUUAGGAUUUGGAUUAGGGUUUGGAUUAGGAUUUGGUUAAGGUUUGAUUUAAGGUUUGAUUUAGGGUUUAGGAUUUGGAUUAGAGUUUAGAGUUGGAUUAGGAUUUGGAUUAGGGUUUGGAUUAGGGUUUAAGGUUUGGUUAGGAUUUGAUUUAGGGUUUGGAUUAGGAUUUGGUUAGGAUUUGAUUUAAGGUUUGGUUUAGGAUUAAAGGUUGGAUUACGAUUUGAUUUAGGGUUUGAUUUAGGGUUUAGAAUAGGGUUUAAUUUAAGAUUUGGUUAGGAUUUGACUUAGGAUUUAGGAAUUAUUAGGGUUUAAGAUUUAAUUAGAUUUGAUCUAAAGUUGAGUGAAAUUCAAUAGGGUUUUAACUAGAAUUAAAUUAAGGUUUAAUUGACAUAUAUUUGAGUAAAAGUUGUGAUCAUUCUAAUAUUUCUUUAAGAAUUUUAUUGUUUGUUUGAAAUUUCUUUGAGUUGUUUUGAAUUGGAUUACAUUUGUUUACCAUUAUUAUAGUCUAAUUAGAGCAUUGUUAGUAUUCUAUU
rnacentral:lncRNA from 1 species